GGACGAACGCUGGCGGCGUGCCUAAUACAUGCAAGUCGAGCGAAUGAUUAGAGAAGCUUGCUUCUCUCUGAUUUAGCGGCGGACGGGUGAGUAACACGUGGGUAACCUACCCUAUAGACUGGGAUAACUUCGGGAAACCGGAGCUAAUACCGGAUAAUACUUCGAAACACAUGUUUUGAAGUUGAAAGAUGGUUUCGGCUAUCACUAUAGGAUGGACCCGCGGCGCAUUAGCUAGUUGGUGAGGUAACGGCUCACCAAGGCAACGAUGCGUAGCCGACCUGAGAGGGUGAUCGGCCACACUGGGACUGAGACACGGCCCAGACUCCUACGGGAGGCAGCAGUAGGGAAUCUUCCACAAUGGACGAAAGUCUGAUGGAGCAACGCCGCCGUGAGUGAAGAAGGAUUUCGGUUCGUAAAACUCUGUUGCAAGGGAAGAACAAGUAGCGUAGUAACUGGCGCUACCUUGACGGUACCUUGUUAGAAAGCCACGGCUAACUACGUGCCAGCCGCCGC
rnacentral:rRNA from 1 species